rnacentral:misc_RNA from 1 species
AGAUUAAUUUGGAUCCUGAGUUCAGGUUGGUUUUUCUGAGCAAUAAAAUAAGAGAAAGCAGCAUUCAAGAUAUUACUGAUUGAUUUCUUCCAUAGUAUUUGGUGAAAUUGUCUUCAUCCUUCACUAAACACUAACGAGGCUGGUUUUGUUUUUCUACUCCAACCCCAAACACGAACACAAAACGCCCCUCCCCCCCAACAAAAAACAAAGAAGGGUUCCCUUGCACAUUCCACAUGUAAUAGUUUGACAAAGUUGUCAUACUUGGCCACCAAAAUAUCUGUAUGAUGGCGACGUACCUUGUGUUGUAUCAUUAUUUUAGCAGAAAGAACUUUCACUGUAUGUGUCAAAUAAGAGGAAAUAUUUCUUUUUUUCUUAUUUG